AUGCACGCUGGCGGCGUGCCUCAUCCCUGCAAGUCGCGCGCACGGACGAGAAGCUUGCUUCUCUGAUGUUAGCGGCGGACGGGUGAGUAACACGUGGAUAACCUACCUAUAAGACUGGGAUAACUUCGGGAAACCGUAGCUAAUACCGGAUAAUAUUUUGAACCGCAUGGUUCAAAAGUGAAAGACGGUCUUGCUGUCACUUAUAGAUGGAUCCGCGCUGCAUUAGCUAGUUGGUAAGGUAACGGCUUACCAAGGCAACGAUGCAUAGCCGACCUGAGAGGGUGAUCGGCCACACUGGAACUGAGACACGGUCCAGACUCCUACGGGAGGCAGCAGUAGGGAAUCUUCCGCAAUGGGCGAAAGCCUGACGGAGCAACGCCGCGUGAGUGAUGAAGGUCUUCGGAUCGUAAAACUCUGUUAUUAGGGAAGAACAUAUGUGUAAGUAACUGUGCACAUCUUGACGGUACCUAAUCAGAAAGCCACGGCUAACUACGUG
rnacentral:rRNA from 1 species